rnacentral:rRNA from 1 species
UACAGAGGUCUCAAGCGUUGUUCGGAUUCAUUGGGCGUAAAGGGUGCGUAGGUGGCGUCGUAAGUCGCGUGUGAAAUUUCGGAGCUUAACUCCGAAACUGCAUUCGAUACUGCGGUGCUUGAGGACUGGAGAGGAGACUGGAAUUCAUGGUGUAGCAGUGAAAUGCGUAGAGAUCAUGAGGAAGACCAGUGGCGAAGGCGGGUCUCUGGACAGUUACUGACACUGAGGCACGAAGGCCAGGGGAGCAAACGGG